UCUGGCAGCCAGCCCACCGCAGAGAAGAGGGAACUCCGCAGAGAAGAAACUAGCAACGAGGCCCCAAAGGUGGAAGUGCAGCCUGAGAAACUUGAGCCGGCCCGGGACUGUGCCGGCCUUGCCACUCACUCUGCAGGGUGUGGCGUGCAGGACCCCUCCGGCUUCACAAGACCGAUCUGCCUCCUGUGACAGAGAAACGGAAGCCCAAAGAGGUGAAAUAACUUGCCCCAGGACGCACAAGCAGGAAACAGAGGAGCCAGGAUUCAAACCCCCUGUGUGGCCAUCCCUGGAGCCCAGACUCUGACCGCAGCCACUUCAGCUUUCAAGUGAAAAUCAAGAUGAUGAGGUAAAGGUUAGUGCUGCCUCCAACUGACACUGGGGAUUGGAGCAAUCUUGUCUCCUCCCUUGUAGGUAAUAUUUUGGGUUUCCUUCCUUGCACACAGCCAGGCAAAUGACUGCAAUUCUAAAAAGAGAUAAAUAUAAAAACAAGAAGUGAAACACUACAGACACCUGAAACCCGACCAUUUCUGCAAGCUCGAGCUAGCAGAGUCGCCUCGCAACAGAAAUAGUUCUGUCCUGUUUAGAUAGGCUUUGUUUUGCUACAUGGCUGCAUAUGCAGUGAAGUGAUAUCAAGUCCUGAGGGUCCACUCCUUUGAUGAGUUAAACACACAAAGGCCUACAUUUUGAUGUAAUCUGAUAGCAUGUAGUUAAGUCCUAGACAAAGUGCAACUGUGAGGAAGUGAUAAACCCAACUUCCUGCACAAAGCCGCCUGAGAUAACACUUUCCAUGGACUGGAGAAAAAAAGAGAGAGAGAGAGAGAGAGAGAGAGAGACAUGAUUGCUACAGAAUUUUAAAAGAACUAUUCCAUUCUUAAUAAAUAAACCCUUCUCCAUGGGGCUCCAGCAACAGCUAAAUAAAACGGACUGCAGUCAGGUGACUAUGUAGUAUUUCCACAUAUGACUUAAUUCUCACUUUUAUUCAUAGACAGUGUCAAUCACUGGAGAUUCACUUGAUUUUUUUCUCUUAAGAGUACUCUAGUUCAAACUCGAAAUCUCAGGUAUCUUCUUGGCCAGAACAUCCCUGCAGUUGACCAAGAACUCGAAUUGAGGGAAUUGAGUUUGCAUUAACUGGCUUAAUGGUGUUCCCACUGAGUCAUUAAAGAGGUUGAAUCAGUCUGAAUAAACACACAUUGGAAGAGUUGUCAGAUUAUGGAAGGACCAAUAACUAUUUCCACAAUGCCAAAACAAGGUCAGUCAUGGUUUCACUAAGGGUUCUCAAGAAUCAUGUCCUAUCUAAACAACCAAUAAGGGCUGACUGUGCUGGGAAUUUUCUGUGAAUACAUUUACUCCUUUACUAAUAUAGCAAAUAUUGUAGAGAUUUUUAGCUCACAAUAUUCCCCAAAGAGCACCUACUAUGUGCUAGGAAAUACAAUAGCAAACACAGAAAGAAACAGCCCCUUCCCUCAAAGACUAGUUAGGAAGAUGAAUAGUAAAGUAAACAUAGAAAUAUGUGUAAAUCACAAAUUUUAUUGAGUGCUUUGACGAGAAAGGACAGGGUGGCCUGAUUUUGGUUUUGGAUGAGGUGAUCACUUCCCUGAUGAUGUGAUAUUUAGGCCUGAAUCAUUCAAGCAGACCAAGAGGGAGGGAAGACAGUUUCGGCAGAGAAAACAGGCCAUAUCAAGGCCUUGAGUUGGCAAACAGCAUGGUGCCUUCAGAAGCUAAAGGAAGGCCAUGUGUCCAGAAUAAAUUAAAUAAGGAGAGAGAGAGAGUCUGAUAUAAUCCUGGAAAGCACAGAGGAGCCAGAUCAGGCAAGGGCCUUGCAGGCCAUGUAAAGAAGUUUGGCUUUAUCGUGAGCAUACUGGGGAUUAUUCCAGAAAACACUGCUGAACCUCUAAUAGUGUUUUGUUUGUACAUUGUUUACUAGGCAAGGCUCUCAGAGAAAUGAAGCAGCCCUAACAUUCUUUGGGGAAUAUUGUGAGAUAAAAAUCUCUACAAGUAAUCUGGAGCAUUAAAGGUAUUCCCCUCAGUUCAGCCAGUUCAGCCAAGCCACAAACUGGGAGGGGGGAAAAAUCAGAAUGAUAAAAAAAUUUAACGAACCAUGUCAUUUUAUUAUUUUGAUAUGAUUAUAGAGUCACAUGGUUGUACAUAUACACUCGCCAUAUGGACAAAUCCUCUUGUUUCACAAAAGAAACUAAGGCCCAGAAAUAGACUUUGGAGAUGCCUUUGCUGCAGUCAUUGGGAUGGGAAAGUGAAUGUCCUGCUGCUGAGAAUAUCACAAUGGAUCUGAAAAACUGGGCUUCCAACAUGUAAAACCAGCUUCAAGUUUUCUUUCAUUAGGGCUUCUUAAUGUGUUGGUUUUAUUCCACAAUCAAGUGAUGCUUUAAAUCUUUCAGGCACAGGUUAAUAAAAGUCAUUUUUUCCUCUUGUGUCUAUUUCCAAGCCCUGACCCAUGUUUCUGAGAACCUACUCUGCGUAAACCCCACUGGCUACCUGGCCCUCAACUGAUGGGUUUUGAAGCACGGAGUAUGAUUAGAGAUUUGCUUUUGAUUCUGAGGCUCGUGACAAGGGAUCCUGGCCCUGAAGCUAGGGAAUUUGCUGGUUUGAGAUUGAAUCAAGUUCUUAAAAAAAAGGAUUGACACUUCAGGGCCAACCAGACAUUGCCUUUGCUAUUCUGAUGACUUUCGACUUGGGGCUGAGUGGAUUCCUGCUAUGUAGUAGCAUUUUGACCUCAGUACAGUUUCAUUUAGUUGACCUCAGAGAAAAUCCUCUACCUCUCUGGGCCUCUACUUCUCUUCAGAUGAUGCCUAAGACACUUACAUGUCCAACAUUCUAUAUGUUGGCAAGACAAAUAAAAAAAGUUUAGAAUCUUGACAGAAAAUGUCCUUAGCACCUCACUUCCUAUAAUAGAAUGGAAGGAAGGAAGGAAGGAAGGAAGGAAGGAAGGAAGGAAGGAAGGACAGAAGAAGACUGGGGUUGGAGGAGAGAGAAGGAGGGAGGGAGAGAAGGUAAAAAGGAAGGAAAAGAAGGAAGAAGUCAUUAGUGAACAAAACUAAGGAAGGAAAAAAGGCAAAAGCUGUGCUUUCCAUACCACUCUGCAACCUUAACAGAAAUAGAUUGGGCUUGAGUUGUGAAUAAGUUAUUGUUUAUUUAGCCAUCAAAACACAGCCCAGUGGAGUAUACUUAAGCAUCCUUUGCAGAUUAAGAUUCUGGAUACCUAUGCGUCAGCAACUUCUGUUUAAGAAAACAAAUGAAGUUUCAGGAAAAAAAUUGUUAGAGAAGAGUUAUGCUUUUUUUUUUUUUGAAAUAUUUCAGGGUUGCCUGGGUGGCUCAGCCUGUUAAGGACCAGACUUCAGUUCAGGUCAUGAUCUCACAGUUUGUGAGUUCCAGCCCCGCAUAUGGCUCUCUGCUAUCAGUGCGGAGCCCGCUUUGAAUCCUCUGUCUCCCUCUCUCUCUGCUCCUCCCUUGCUCUCUCUCUCUCUCAAAUAAACAAAUAUUUUUCUUAAAAAGAAAAAUAAAUAAAUUUGAAAUGCCUUAUAUUGCAAAGAUUUUGUAAAUCAUUGACAUCUACGGAAAUCACUUAGCCCAGAGGCUAGCACUUAGUAAGUACUCAGUAAAUGUUAUUUAAUGCUAUAAUUCAUACUACAGAGAACCAGAAAACUUGAAAUCCAGACCUCUGAACGGAUAGCUAUGUGAUUUAAGCAGGUGUCUCUGCCUCUCUAAGUCUGUUUUCCAAAUCUGAAAGAAGAAUGGAUUGGAUUCAAUUGAAUGAGGUGGCAUACAGAGCUUCUCCAGCUGCUAUUCUCCAAGUCCAUUUCAAUUGUGUUAGGGCCCCCAUGUUUGAAUUGAACAUUAAUAUUUUAAUGAAAAUAAUUUCUUUCUCACACCGUAUUGUAAAGCACCUGCAUAACUUUGCAGAGCAUUUCUCUUUCCUUCCCUAAGCAGAUUCUGGAGCACUAAAAUUAAAGAGAAGUAAAGGGGAUUAACAUUUCCCUAAAAGGACCAAUUGGAAGGGCAACUUCAGGGCACUAGUUAAAAUGUCAGUCCCCUUAAUAAAUGUCCAGUUAGGGAGUCUGGUCCUAGUACUGCAUUGUAGUAUUUAGAGGACUGUGAGAGUGGGGUCAAGCUCUGUUGGCUCUUAACUCCAUCACAACAUCUGCUCAAGACUCAGGACUUCCUAAAACUGGAUUUUAAACACCCCUAAGAGACUGCCAUUUCCCUGAGGGUUUCUCUUCAAGUAAAAAUGUUUUUGCCUCCCAAAUUGAGUCAACACAUCUGUUCCUACCUAUCUUAAAAGCUUCAUCAAUUCAAUAAUUGUCCAAAAGGAAGAGGGAAAAAAAAAAGCUAUUGUGUGAUGAAAACUUUUGGCAAAUCUUAUGAAAACACAUUCUUAAAACAUCUCUCAUUUCUGAGAAACAAAGUAAAAUGUAUGAAUUGUGUUUUGUUUCAUGACGAACAAAAUGAUUCAUUGCUACAAUGAGGUAUUUUGACCAUAUCUACAUAAAACAAGUAUGAACAUUCAAUUGAAAAAAUAAAAAUAACUCAAUUAGAAAAAUAAACUUUGAGUACCUCCUCUCUAAACGGCACUGAACUUGGCCUCAAAAAACUAGGCAGGUUGUCAUGCUCAAGUUUAAGUUAUUUAGGUGUUAGCUGUAGCUUCUAUGCACUGAGAAGUUUCUUUACAGCUACUUCUCUGUGCUAACACAGUAGCCUCCAGCCACAUGUGGCUACUGAGUGCUUGAAAUGUGGCUGGUUAAAUUGAGAUGUUUUAUAAGAGUAAAA